rnacentral:lncRNA from 1 species
GCAAUGAUCUUGCCACUUACAUAGACUUAAGUAGUAUCGAAAGGAGAUACUCGUGAGUGAUCAAACAAUCGUUUGCAUAAUGGCUCUGAAUUUCUGUGAGAAAACAAGGGGCAGUGUCUAUUGUUUCAUGAGCUUUCUGUCUUCAACUUGCACUUUCUGUUUUCACUAAAGGGGACUGAGGAGGGGGUUAGAAGAGAAGGGCAUGCAAUCUAACUCUCUAUGCACACUGCAGCUUAGAUGAAGACAAAGGAUCGGCUUAACUCUAAGGCCUCGGGUGUUGUGGAUGGAGGCAUUGUGUGUCUGAAAUAUAUAUUUGAUAUCGAUAGAUAAAGUUACAUUUUCCUUGAAUUCUAGCUUAUAUGCUUGUAAUCUAACCUGAAACAUUUCCCUUGAACUUUUUUGCAAGUUCCAGGCAUGGUUGCAUACUGUGGGGUAGAUGGUACAGCUGUUCGGUUUCAGGUUUGUACUGAUUAAGAUGAAUUUUGUUAAAUAUGUUCUUUUCAUGGUUUUCCUGCUGUAUUCUAUGUAUUGAAUGUUCAGAAUGGUCUGGCCGACAUUGUUACUGUGGUCAUAGAUAUCUGGAUAAGGGUUGGAAAAGUUAUACUAAAGAAGUUUAUGGUAAAACAUACAAUGGAAUCUAUACAGUUUCCUUGAGGAGGAUAUUUCAAAAGAUAAAUUGUCCAUUCACACUGACCUCUGUGCUUUCACUUAACUAGCCUGGAACUAUUGUAUUUCUCGAUGUAGUAACGUAAUCAGCCUUCUCUUUUUUCCUUUUAGUUAAAAUUACACCCCUAUGAUCCAGUCAUCAAUCCCUUGUUCUCAUUGAUAGGAGAGCAAAGUAACAAUAUGAUUUAUGAAGAUUCCAUUUUAAUGGCCUUGCCCGCCUAAGUUCUAACACAAGGGGUGUGUUUGGCAUGAAGGAAAGCAUUUUGCUUUUUUCUCAUAUUUGUUUGGUUAAAAUUUUAGAAUUUUUUGCUAAAAAGAAAGUCCAGAACUGUAUGUUUGGGAGGUAAACUGUAUGUUUGUCUAAUUAGAGGCCUUAUUCAUAUUACCUUUAUACUCAGAUGGCUAGCAAAAUGGAGAAUGAUGCUGUGAGAACUCGUAUGCCGCAUUUUCUCUGUGGAUCAUUUUCCGGGGAUGAAUCAGGUGUCUGCAUUGUUACUCCAGAGCCAAAUACUCCCUUCCGAAUGAUCUACUCAGGGAAACAGUGGCGUGAUGCCAUCCCGAGAUCUCCCCAUGGUGUCAAUCAACGAGCGAUGGAUCAAUCAGAUGCACAACCUCUGGGUAACAUAUUCAACUGCUCUACUGAUUUUCAUUUACCAAUUUUGCUACCUCAAUUCUUAGCGUGGUUCAUCCUGUCAUCAUGCAGCUCUAUGUUAUGGCAAUGAUCCGAACGUUGAAGGAGGAUCAGAUGACGAGUUAGCAUCUCAGACAUCCAAAACAAAAACAAAAACCACAAGCAAGGAACCGUUGGUUGCUGAAGAAGAACCAACAAGAUCGAAAGUGAAAUUUGAACAGUUACCUCCCAAAAUUUUGUCAGUCAACCGUAUAAGAUGGAACACGAACAAAGGCAGUGAGAGAUGGCUAUGCUAUGGAGGAACUGCCGGACUGGUACGUUGUCAACAGACUGAUUUAUAGACUCUUUGAUUAACUAACUUCAACAAAGGGAGGAUGUAGAAUUGUAAGCUUGUAGUAGUAUUAGUAUUAGUAAAGGGCAUCCCGUUGCGCUAAAGCUCCUGCUAUAUGCGGCGUCCGGAGAAGGGCCGGACCGCAAGGGUCUAUUGUAUUAGUAUUAGUAAAGGACAGCUCGAUGCGCUAAAGCUCCUGCAAUGUGCGGGGUUCGGAGAAGGGGCAGACUACAAGGUUCUAUUGUAUUAGUAUUAGUAUUAAUUGUCAUGUGUUUGACUAUUUUAUUUAUAAGUUAUCCCCUUGGAGGUAGUGUAUGUUGUAUGUAUAUUAUAGCAAUUUCAAAGAGAAGUAUUGGAGUUCAUUGAGCAUUUGGAUAUUUAAUAAGCUAUUUCAAGAGAAGUAUGGUCAUAACUUAUUGGUAAAAACAAAGUGUAGUCUUAUGAGUGGGGUUUGGGGAGGUUAGCGUAUAAAACAAUUUCACUUCUAUCUUAUGAAGGUAGAUAAAUCCUCGGUUUGCGUGACGCAUUUAUAAAAUACAAUAUGGAAAGGAAACAUAGUGAAGAAGUCAUGCACUAAAAAUAUAUGCACUCUUAAGAAUUGCUUCUAAUUCAAAGAAUAAAAUCAACAUAAAUGAUGCAUAUAUGAUCACUAUUUAUAUUCAAUGUACAUCGACAAUACUCAAUAGGACUAUAAUUGACCAAUAGAUUCUUGAUUUACACAAAAAUAAUUUGACUUUAAACUACAUAUAAUUUCUUUUAAUAACCAUACAAAAUACUACAAAACCAUAACUCAAAAAUCUUUCCUUAUUUCUUAAAUUCUAAUAGGAAUUAGAGAGUUUUUAAUUUUUUUUUUGGGAAAUCACGUGCAUGCACUAUUAAAACUUAACGUAGUUAUACCAAAAAAAAAUAAAAAAAAUUCACUUAGAAUCCACCGUAAAUUUGGAAAGCAAAAAGUCAAUAUAAUACCCCUAGUUUUCAAAAUUGUUGGCCCUCUUUCUAGAAUGAUUUGUUUCAAUUCCUGUUUUUUUUUUUUUUUUUUAAAUCAAGAGAAUAUUAUUAUAUUGACCAAAUAAAGUAUACACUCAAAUAUAUAUUAUCAAAACAUAAUUAAUAAGAUUAAUUUGAUAAAAUAAAUCCCUAAUAAUUUUGUUUUUUUCACUCAACUAAUAUAAAAACCCAACAUAGAUUCCAACACAAAUUUGGAAAACAAAAAAGGUCAAUAUAAUAAGCAAUCGAAUUUAAUACAAACUAGGAAAUAUUAAAACACAACUCAAUAAUUUCUCCUUUUUUUUCAACCUUUGGUAUCCCAGUUAUUCACAAACUCCCUCUCACUUCUAAAAUAAAUCCAAAACAAAACCCAAAAGAACACAUAAAAAAAAGAAAAAAAAAUAUACCUAUAUAUACCCCAUAUACAAAGAAACAAUAGGUCUCGAAGGAGAACUCUUUCUUUCUUUCUUUCUUUCUUUCUUUCUUUCUUUCUUUCUUUCUUUCGCUUUUUGUGUUAUACACAUAAUAUACACACAAUAAUAACAAUAAUGGCUUCUUCACAAGCUGCUCUUCUCCUUCAAAAACAACUCAAAGACCUAAACCGGACUCCGGUAGAGGGAUUUUCAGCCGGUUUAAUCGAUGAGAACAACGUAUUUGAAUGGAGUAUAUCGAUCCAGGGUCCAGAAAACACAUUGUUUGAUGGUGGAUUGUUCAAUGCCACGAUGAUUUUCCCUAUCGAUUACCCUAAUAGUCCACCAACGGUGAAAUUCAUCACCGAUAUAUGGCAUCCUAACGUAUACCUUGAUGGUAGAGUUUGUAUAUCCAUCCUUCAUCCACCAGGUGAUGAUCCAUUGUUUUAUGAGUUGGCUAGUGAACGUUGGACCCCGGUUCAUACUGUCGAAAGUAUAAUGUUGAGUAUAAUAUCAAUGCUUUCGAGUCCUAACGAUGAAUCACCAGCCAACGUUGAUGCAGCACAAGAAUGGAGAGAUAAUAGGGCUGAGUUUGUGAAGAAGGUGAAACGUUGUGUGAGGAAGUCACAAGAGAUGUGAGUUUUGCAUGCAUGCAUGCAAGGAGAAGAAAAAAAAAAGAAAUUUUUAUUUAUUCUUUGUUGGUUUUUAAUUAGAAUUUAUUUUUUGGUAUUAAAAGAUUGCUGGAGAUUUUAUGGUUUGGGUUAUUAGGUUGUUUUGAAUUUUGUUGAAGUGUGGUUUUAGGUUGUUUUUGUUUUUCUGCAAUUUAACUGUUAUUGAUGUUUUUGUUUUAUCAUGUUAGGGUAAAAAUUUACUAAAAUUGUGAUAAAUAACCAAACAUGCGCUGUGGUGUAGUGAUGUGGUUCGACCCCCAGGUAUGGAGAAAGAAAAUCCUAUUGGGAGCGCAAUGGAUCCUGUUGGGAGUGCCCCCCCCCCCCUCCCCCCAGAAUAGGCCCUGCAGUGCAUCACGAUUUGAAUUAGUCGGGAUCCUGUUGGGAGCGCCACCCCCAGAAUGGGCCCUGCAGUGCAUCACGACUCUCCAAUGAGGGUACCGGAGACCGGGUGACAAACCAAAAAAAACAAAUUGUGAUAAAUAGUUUGCAUAUACGAACUUUGAACUUAGAAUAUAUUGAAAGUAUAGUCUUAAUGGUUGAUAGUAUAGAAUUGAAAUCCUGAAUUUGCUUCUGAAUAGAAUAGUUAAGGUAUAUAUAGCAAACGGUGGACGCCAAAACCUACAUGACUUGGAAGAAAAUAGAGAAAGAGAAACGUUUUAAAAGAUUUUAGGAGAGCGCGCUAAACCUUGAUUGAAACUCAGCCUUGGUGGAUAGGGUUACGUGGUACCUGUUGCUGGUGCGAAGCGUGACAGGUAUCCUGUAGAACUAGUCGAGGUGAAAAAUAAAAAUCAUUCUGAAUACACCAACUGAUGUCAACCUCCAGACUCUAUGGUGUCAAAGACUUUGCCAUGUAAUUGGUUUGAUUGUCCAAAAAAUUCCCAAAUUAAAGACGAUGAAUAAAUUUGUCAUUCUAUUCUUUGAUAAAUGCCUCUUCUAUCACUAGGUCCUGGAUUACUAUAUUCUUCUUUUGGUGCAACAAUGUGUUCAAAUUUGUCAUAUGAUAACUCCAAAAGAAAAAAAAAAAGGGCAGCCACGUGAACUAAAGCACCCGCUAUGCAUGGAGCUGGGAAAGGGCUGGACCGCAAAGGUCUAUUGUGCGCAGCCUCACCUUGCAUUUCUGACAGAGGUUGUUUCCAUGGCUUGAAUACGAUGACUCCAAGCAUUAUGUUUAUCUUUGGUGAUUCACCAUGUAUAGGGAAAUUUGAUGAGGUUGAGAUUAACUCACUUUUUUUCUUUUAAGUUUUGUAUAGGGAAAAGGAGAUCUUUAAUGGAUUUCUUAAGGCAUAAUACAUAAAUAUGUCCUUUAACUUGACCUCAAAUCACAUAUAUGACCUCCAACUUUGGGUGCAUAAGUAGACACUUAAACUUGUGUAAAGUUGAACAUGUAGACAGACACAAACGUUCUAUGUGGCAUAAUACACGUAGGACGCCAUGUAGGACAAGUUCGUGUGUCUACUUUCCUAAUGUAUAGGAAACUAUUUUUAAUGUAUAUAUAGUAAACGUCGAAACCCUUUCGACUAGUUCGUGUGUUAACUUCUUUAUAUUUUGAACCCCUUAGUGAAAAUCCUGGUUCUGCCACUGCUUCUUAUGCCGAAUCAUCUUGUUCAACAACAUUGUAUUUAUUCUUCCUCUAAUAGUCUCCCAAACAUAUUUGUAAGCAAAUUUGUCAUUUGAAUUAGCUAUUCUUUCUACUUCUUGAGGUAUAAUGACUGAUCCAGGCUCAACUAGAAGGAAUAGACGAAGAAAUUGUGUUAUAUUUGGUAACCCCUUAUAACACGAAGAUUUUCAGUCCUUUGAUUUAUCAAUCCCAAUUGAAAUCGUUAACACGAGGAUUUUGAGUCCUAUAAAUCCUCAUUCAGUUAUCGAUUUUUUACACUAUCAGAUCAUUUUUACUUGUUCUUGAAGGUAACAUGUCAAAUAAAUUAAUGCUAAGGAAUGUAUCAUAAUUAUGGCAACAUGUAUCACUCUUAACAUAAUAGUUUUGAAGUCCACAUUUAUUUAAGAAAUUGAAACAUACAUAGACAAGAGUCGAUACAUCGACGAUACUAAAAACUUAUCCCACACCCAAUGCAAUAUAAAUGUAAACAUCGAGCGUGAAUAAAUUUUUAUCCCGACGUCAUCAAUUCUUGGGUUUCACACCACCAUCCAUUUCAAACAUCUUUGAAUCUUUAAGGCAAAUGCAUUGAUGUGCAACACAAAUGGCUGGAACUCUACAAAUUUUGAAACAUUCACCAGAUUUGUUGCAGUGUUUCAGACCAGAAAGCAUCUCAAUGGGAGUACUAUUUGCAACUGCAUAUAUAUCAAAAUAUUUAAUUAGAAAAAAAAUAAAUCAUCAUUUCACAUAUAUAUGAUUAAUUGAUUAAUAAUUAGGUUCACGAUAUGCAUAAAUAUUUAAUGAAUUUCUUAACGUGUAUAUAUAUAUAUAUAUAUAUAAAGCAUGAUUUUGGAUAAAAGUUAUUGGUCGACCGUGCUGCCUCAGGGAGGCUGGGGAGCAGCGUAGUGUGGGCCUUUGCGGCCGUUUGGGUGGUCAAACGGUCGAAACGGUGCGAACGAAGCAUUUUUGGGGUCAAAUAGGUGUGCUAUAGCUCACGGUUUGCGAGAUGGGCCCGGGGCCCGGGCUCAUGUUUAGUGAUCUACCCCUAACGCAAACAUCAAAGCUAAUUACAUAGCUUGAGUUUAAUUCGUGAUCUAUAGAUUACAUGGGAACAACUUACCGUUACUUCAAAGCUACCGUCUUCACAUUAUAAUGAAAAAUAAUAAAAUUAAAAUAAAAUUAAUAACAUAUGAUGAUUAAUAAGAAUUGAGAAACAAACCCAUGAUGAUCAGCAACAAAGCAACAAAAGAAGCAGAUUUCAUCACAAUUUUGGCCAUAUUUUUUUUUCACUACUUUACUUUAUAAAAGAAAAUAUUAUAAACUUUGGAAUGAUUUGGAGAAAGUUCUUGUUUAGCAUUAUAUAUAUAUAUAGUGGUAGUGCAAUAAAAGCAAUUGGUCAAUACUUGUUUUCUUUGGGUUAUUGAUUUGAAUACAAUUUGCUAAUAAAAUUAUAUGGUUAAUGACAUUAAUUAGAAGUUAAUGCAAAUGGGGUGAUUCGGUAGCUGGUUAGAAUUAUGCUAUGUGUGAGUAAUGAAGAUAUUAACUAUGCAAAGAUUCGUUAUUCAUGUAUUAAUUAUCCCAUCUUUUGUCCGAAAAAUAAUAUAUAGAUUUCAUCAUAACUUGUACAUGUAUAAUUAUGUGGAUUUCUAAAUUGCAAAUCAAACACAAUAUGGGAUUUAAUACAUAUAUUAUUCACCUCCAAACCAGCUACCAAAUGACCUUAAAGAUUAAUCAAUCUUCAUUUUAGAAAAUAAUAGAAUAUGGGUCAACCUUGUCCUUAUGAGGUAUUAUUAUUUAAUCCACCCGUCUUUCCCAGUCCCUAAAAGCUCUUUGAGGGUCUCGCCCUCUUUCUCCACUCAAGUUUGAAGUUCAGCGACUUUCAUCAUUGACGAAUGUCUGCGCUAGUAAGACAAAGAAAUGGAAAGUCUAUGUCUUUGAAUGAAUUAGUGUAUUUUAAAGUCGUGUGAGUCACCAACAUGGGUUGUGGUACAGCGGAUGGGGCUGUUCUACCCUUAACCAGAGGUCGAAGGUUCGAUCCUGAGCAUGGAGAAAACUCUGUUGGGAGCGCUACCCCCCGAAUGGGGCCCUAUCCGGCACGAAUCCAGAUUAAUCGGACUCCAAUGGGGGUACUGGACACCGAAUGGAAAAAAAAAAAAAAAGUCGUGUGAGUCUAAGCUCAAAAAGCGGACAAUAUUAUUGACUAAUUGGGUAGUUAAAGCUAUAUAACUCUUGAAAAUAUUCUUAUUCUUAUAUGUUUCCAAUGAUGCAGUUGAACAUUGAUCGAAGGGUGGUCAGUUGAACAUCCUUCAUCAAAAAAUUAUACCGUAUAUAAAAAAAAUAAAAUUAUAUAUAUAUAGAUCAAAAACUACUUUUGAGAAAUAUAUUUAAAUUUUUGAACACCCUUAGCAAAAUUCUAGAGUAUAAUAAUUAGUUAUAGUUGCAUUAAAAUUUAAUAAUUAAUUUAGUAGAAUAUUCAGUUUUAAUGAAAUUUUGUGACGCAAAUUCUCUUCAAUAUUUUUGACCUUGCAUCUCUCUUAAAAGUUUUGAAGUCCACAUCGAAACAUAAAUGAUAAGAGUCUAUACAUUGACUAUUAAAAUUUAUUCCACACUCAUACAUAGCAUUUAAAUAUCGAGUGCAAAUAAAUUUUCUUUGUGACAUUAAUCCUAUGCAAAAACAUCUAUAAAAAAUACACUCAGGCAUAAAACAAUAAUGACAAUCACGUUUUUCAUAACAUUUUUCCAAUUUUUCUUCUGCCACUGUAUUAAAUGGAAUAUCUGCAACUGAAAAUAAUUAAACAAAUUAAAUCAUAAUUUCAAAUAUAAACUAAAAUAUAAUCCAUUCAUUUUUGAAUUACAUAAGCAGAUUUAGGAUUUUGCGUUAAUAAUUUUUGUUUUCUCACUCAAUUUUUUACAUAUACAUACAUAAAGAUUGGAUGAACAAAAAACAAAAGGAAGGGAAAUUAAAUAGUUUAUACAAAAAAAAAAAAAAUGAAAUUAAUGACAUAAAAAUAGCAUGAUUAAACAGAAAAAGUUGAACUGCUAAUCAUAUAUAAAAAUGAACUUAAAAAUUCUAUUUAAUAAUGGGUUACAUGAUUGAUCUAUUUAGUGAUGAAUUAUCAAAAAUAUUUUGUUAACCAACAAAUUAUUUAACGAUAAAUUAGGGUUAGGGAGAAAUAAUUAAUUAUAACUUUUAAUUGAUUUUGAGAAAUAUAUUCUAUUCAUCGUAUUAUAUUAUAUAGGGGUGAAAGAAAAUCUAACUUGUUAUUAGUGUAAUCUCAUGAAUUUAUAUAAUUUUAUUUAUAAAAGAGGGUCAUGGACAAGCAUUCAUAGUUAUAUUUUAUUUUUUUUUGUCAAUUUUUUUGCCUUUUAAAAUAAUUUUAGAAAAGUACUUAAUUAAAGGAAAUUAAGUAUUUAAUAGUUAGGAUUUCCUAUUUCUCUAUAUCAAUUCUUUAACACAUUAGUAUUCAUAAUUUUUAGGAAAUUGAAAUAAACAGAACAAGAAUUUUGAAGUUGACAUUUAUUUAGGAAGUUGAAACAUACAUGAUAAGAGUCGAUACAUCGACCAUAAAAAAUGAUUCUCCACUCGAUUCAUGUGAAUAAAUUUUCACCUUUAUAUUAAUUCUUGGGUUUAACGCCACUUCAAACUUGGACUGACUUGCCAAUGCAAUAACAUCUAUGGAAAAUACAAUAAAAACAAUCACUUCUUCGUCUGCAACCUUAUUGGAUGAAAUUUCUGCAACUGAAAGUAUUUAAAACAAAUCAAAUUAUCAUUUCAGAUACAAACAAAAAUAUAAUUCAUUUGUAUUUGAAGUACAUAACCUCAUCAAGAAUUUUGAGUUUAUCAUCUUUGAAUUCUACUGAACGUUACUUAUUGAGUCUUGAAUAAAUUAGUUAUACGUAAAAAAUAAUUGCUAAUAUAAAUACAUGAUUUUGGUCAAAACUAUUGAAUUUUGUCAAGUCUAUGAAAAAAAAAAAGGACAAACGAAAAAUAAGAGAUGAUAAAUUAAAUAAUUUAUACAGCAAAAAAGAACUGAAAUUAGUGAUAGAGAGAUUGCAUAAAAAAAGAAAAAUCAGCCGCUCAUUAUAUUUAACAACUAUUUUUUUUGGAAAGACUAUUUAAUAAUAGGUUAUUUAUGGAUUAACAAAAAAAUAUUUUUUUCACUUAUUUCUCUCUCUCUCUAUAUAUCUAUUAGCAAGGAAUUAUUAAAAAAAAAAUCUAUUCAAAAAUGAAUUACUUACCCAUGAUGAUUAGCAAUAGGGCCAUAACAAAUAUUGCAGAUUUCAUAAGAGUCUUCUCCAUUUUUUUUCAUACACAAAAAUUUCUAUUGAAAAAACUAAUUAAUUGUAACUUUUAAUUGAUUUUGAUUUGUAGCUAUGUAUUCUAUAACAUUAUACUCCUAUAUGGGGGAAAAAAAUCCCACUUGUUACUAACGUAAUCUCAUUAAUUUAUAACAUCAAGACAAGGCUCAUUUACUGCAUUAGUUAUUUAUAGGGAAAAUAGUCUUAUCUAGGGGCGGAGCUAGUCCCUUCACCGAAAAAUUAUAUUAUUUAUACAAAUUUAAAAUUAUUAUAUAUAUAUAUAUAUAUAUAUAGAAAACGUUUAACCUCCUUCGAUUAAUUCUUUUAUUCACAUUUUUCAAUUUUAAAUCCCCUUAAUUAAGAUAUUAACUCCGCACUGAUCUUUAUCUCCCUCUACAUUUUUUGGUUUGAAAAUGUAGUUGUUAGUCAACUUAGCUCAAAAAUGCUUUUUAACUAGCCAAAUAGUUCAUAAAUAUAUUUUCUACAAAUGAUUGCUUUUAAAAAGGGGCCAAUCAAAUCCUUUUGACAUCAUUAGUCCUAGGCCCAACCACUGAAUCGUGGGCUAACACCCACCAAAAAUGAUCCGUUCACAUCGUUUCACCCGUUUGACAGGGCGUUAGGGGGCCUUCGGUUGAUUUUUGCCGAAAUACGCUCUCGGCCCACCAACCGAACCGAAAGUCGCCAAAAAUAGCCGUUCGCGCCAUUUUACCUAUUUGACCACCAAAAGAACGUCGCCGGACCACCCACAUCUGCUCCACAGAGCGUCUGGAGGGGGGAGGGUAACCUCCCUGGCCUCGAGCCCACCCACCGAAAAGUCGUCAAAAAUGAUCCGUUUGCAUUGUUUCGUCUGUUUGACCAUCAAAAUGUUGCUCCUCAUCGUUCGUUCACACCAUCGCCACAACCUUGACCGUUUUCUUUGAAAAUAUAGCAACUAAUUCUUCCAUUUCUCGUCUUUUCCUUAAUGAAUAUUGACUUAAAGGUUAAGAAAAUAUUCAAGAUUGAUUAAAUAAUUCAAAAAAGACAAUGAAAUUGGUGAAAUCGAUUUGAUAUGGAUGAGUGCAGAAGUGAGAGAAAUAAUAGUGCUGAAGUUUCUAAGUGGAGAAGUUACCCCUAGUUUUGGGAGUGGAAGGUUGUGAUAAAUCAAAAAACGUGAUUUGGAGUGUUACUUGGUUGAGGGAAUCUACAAUAUGUAAGUAAAUUAAUAAAAAGGCAAUUUUAAGUAAUUUUUUGAAAGACAUUUUAUCUACUUCCUAGUCACAAAUUAAGAUGACAUACUGAUUAAGAAAAAUAAUUACUAACAUGUUUAGUUUAUCAUAAUACCCUAUUAAAUGAUAUUUACAAUAUAAUUUGAAGAAAAAAUAAUUAAUGCAAAGAAUAAAACGUGAAUUUUUCUUUUGUUUUGUCAUGAUUGAUAAAAAAAGACAAGUAAAAUGAGACAUUAAAUUAAAAAAUUUGAGACCGAUAAUUUGGGAUGGAGGAAGUAUUAAUGACUCUAAAUAUGUGGGUUUGUGUAAUUUAUAUUUUAUAUUUUUAUAAAUUGUUGUUACAAAAAUAUAAAUACAUCUAUAUUUUAUAUUUUUAUAAAUUAUUACUAUAAAAAUAUAAAAUACAUAUCUAGAGCAUUAAAAAUUAUAUAUAUUUAUAUUUUGAUAGUAAUAAUUUAUAAAAAUAUAAAAUACAACUUGCGCUACCUUAAACCCUGUGUUUGCGAACAUCCUCCUUCCUCUACACUUCCUCCAUUGCUUAAAUUUGUAAGCUAUUUGCAAUUGAGUCAAAAAUCUAUGGCAGCAGCAAAGAAGCAGAAGAAAAACAAAGAGAAAUACACAUUAUCAGAACUGAAAACCCUAGGUCACCAACUUCUUUCAUCAAGAGCACACAUCAACAAUCUUCCUCUUCUCCUUUCAUUCAUCAAUCCAUCUACUCGCAGUCCAAAAUACACACUCGAAUCUCUACUUUCUCUUCAGUCAUUUUUCCUUCCUCUUCUUCCCCGACUCCCUUCUUCUACUAGUUCAGUCUCGCAGAGUGAUCCAGAGUUUAUUUAUUCGUUCCAAGUUUGAUGACCUCGUGCAUUCCCUCCUUGAUAUUGCUAUUUGUUCCGAAUCCGAUGAAGCACUCAGAGUAACGGCCACUCCGACUUACUCUUAAGUAUUUUUCAAUUUAAGUGGCUCACUUUGAAUUUCGACAGUCAGAAUGUUAGUUUCAUUGUGAAUAAUUUUUGUUGUGAAAGAUGAUAGUAUCUGGUUGCCCAUGAAAUGCAUUAGAGUUGUUUUAUUGAAUUUUUCUGGGUAAUUUAGAGUGGAAAAAGUAAAUACCGAAAUUUUUUGAACGUGUAACACUGGGAAAAAAGUGAAAGAAUUUCAUGGCCAAACGGCCCUUAAUUUUUGACUCUGAAUUCGGGUUAAUAAUCUUUAAUUUUUUAGAAAGAAAAUUUACAUAUUUGAAAACUACUUUUAUAAAGUAUUUAAGUGACACGAAUGAAAAUAUUAAAAAGAUUAUGGAAAAAUUACUGUUAAAGAAAAGACUUGUUUGAAUCUCAAAAUUUGAAAGGUGCUACAUAAAUUGGGAUAGGGGAGUAAAGUUUUUCUCAUUGAAGGAUGGAUAUGAUGUGUGUGUUUUAACUUUGGGUUGGAUGAUUAGGAAGUUGUGUUGGAUACGUUGAUGGAGUUUGUGAAAGUUGGAAAUGGUGGGAAGUUUCACUCUGCUAUUUACCACAGGCUUCUUGAUCGCAUUGUAAGUUACAGUAAUGGCCACAUCUUUUAUUUAUUGCAUUCGUAGUUUUUGCAAGGAACUUCAUUUGAGGAUACUUUUGUUUUCUUUCUAAUGGUCGAAAAAAGAUACAUACUUUGGUUCUCUUUCUAUGUUGCAGGUUCAUUCCUCCCUCGAUGUCCAUGAUGUUUUGCUCGAUUUGCUCUCAUCGAAGUAUUUUAAGUACAUUGAUAUACGGUAUGAAGACUAUUUCCUCAAAUGAUUAUGUUUUUAAGGAGAAUGGAAGUAGGGGAUUCUCUUAAUUCUAUUUUUAGCAUGGCUGAGAUACGUUCUUAUAUGCUGAGACAUUUCAUUGAGCUUCAUACAGUUCUGUCUGUUGGCUGCAUUCAUGUUUAAUCAGGUUAAAUAAUGAUCAGCCCAAAUACAUUUUUAUAUGUUUUUGGUUUCUUUCAUCAGAUAUUUUACUUAUAUCAGCUUCAAAAAGCUUUCCCAAAGCAUAGGAGCCAAAGAUAUCUCGGGUAUAACUACCUUAUUUACCCCAUAUUAAUAUCAUCUUCUCUUUACCUCGUUUAUUUUUCUUGCACGUGUUCUCAUCCCUUUUUUGUUGUUUCUACUAUCAGAUGAUAGAAGGGAGGGCCUAGACACUAGCAGUGUGAACAAGCCAGAAUCAAGGUUGGUCUAAAUAUCUGAUUGAUGCUUAUUUCCUUCCGUGAGACAUUACUUGAUGGUUUAAUUCCAUUUUUUAUCAUGUGGACAAUUUUUUUCCUUUCUCAAUUAAUGUAUUAUAACUAUUUUUCAUUUUGUAUUGGGUGCUGAUUGUUUGCAACAUUUGAUUAACUAUGGUAGAUAUUUGUGUUACGGAAAGCCAAGGCAAGUAAUAUUGUAUCAAAUAUGAUUAUGUCAUGCACCCUAGGGUGUGGCCUAGUGGUUCAAUGAAGUGGGACGAGCACCAUGAUGUCUCAGGUUAAAUUCCCAACAGAGACAAAUACUAGGUGAUUUCUUCUCAUCUGUUCUAGCCUUGGUGGACAGAGUUACCUGGUACCUGUUGCCGGUGGAAGGUGGCAAGUAUCCCGUGAAUUUAGUCGAGGUGCGCACAAGCUGGCCCGGACACCACAUUUAUCAUAAUAAAAAUAAAAAAUAUGAUUAUGUCAUCUACUUUUGAUGCUUCUGUGAGAUUUAUUUACCCUGAUCAAAUUUCAUCUGCAUGAUGGUUCUCAAAAAGAGUAUUAGUUCACCUUUUAUGUCCUUAUCUAAUUAUAGAUGCCAAGGCCCAAGUUCAGCCUUGCUUUCUUUUCAAUUGGCUUUUCUUUUCCAACUCUUCUACAGAUCACAGAAUUUGCAUGUCUUAGAGAAUUGAAAACGGUUAUUUUGGCAUGUCAUUUGUAAACUGCGCCCUUUAACACCUUUUCAGAUCCAGGAUAUAUAUAUAUAUAUCUAUUUAAUUUGCAAUAGAAGUCUUGUUUCUUUCCAUCCCAUCAGAUGUUUCUACUUUCUACUAUUAAAUACGUUGACAUUCGUUUUGAGCAAGUGUAUAUGAUGGUUUUUUCUUUUGGUUCUGCAUGCCGCAUCUAUUUUCAACUAAUAGAAGCAAUUCUUCCUUUUAGUCAUUACCCAGGAAGUUUUAGUUUAUUCGUGUGAAAACAUUGGGCUCAUUAUUUUUCUUUUGUAACUUUGUUUUUCAUGGUUUAAAGCUUGGAUCUCUCAGUUCACAAGUUAUAUUAUCUACUAUCACGUAUCCCUCCCUUGGAAGGUUCAGAUGUCAAGUCAAAAUAUGAUAUGUGGAACGCUGCAGGUAAUUUCACUUUCCCAAUUAUUUAAUCCAGACAUAGUGCUUCAUCCCUAUUUAACUUCUAACACAAGGAUAACCACUAAGACUUAGUCCCAAGCACGUUAGGGAUGACUAUAAGAACCUCAAUGGCCAUGUUAUUCCAUUUACCUCUAUCCGACAUCUACUUGUAUUUAUAUAUGGAAAAAUGUUUAUCCUAGCAGAAUUCACGAUCCAUCAUCGUUAUUUUGGCUAUUUAUUGUUGUUCAAUCGCUUUUUAUCAACAAAUAGCUUUUUAUGUUUUUAACGAUAUAUUGCAACUGUCGUUAAGAAUUGGAAAGAUAACAUUUCAAGGUUCUGAUCUAAAGAUUACACUUCAUAGCCUUGUAUUUUGGGUAUUUGCAAUUUUUACACCUUAUGUAUUAAGUUGGCAAAGUAAGUCGGUCUAAAGACCAUAUGAAGGGAGAGGAUUGUGAUGGGUUGAUGAUCAGGUAGAAACAAUCAGCUUUUUUUUUUUUAUUUUUAAGAAAACUGGUAUGAUUGUAUUCUUCAGCAUUAAGGGUAUGCUAGAAAGGUCAGUGACGAAAAUGAAGUGAUGCAAUAAUCAACACAAAACACUAGUGAAAGCUAAAAUCGAAGCUCAAGGAACUACAAUAGUGAAAAUGCGGGAGGUCCAAGAAAAACCUCCGAGCCUAUCUCACAGGGAAGUGAGAGACCCUCGGCUAUUAACUAACCUUCAACCCUAAUACGCGACCUCUAAACUCUCCUAUCUAAGGUUGCCCUCGGUAAGGUCAAGAUGAACCAGGUCCUAUCUAAUCACUUAUACCCAAUAGGCCUGCCUCUUCCUCUCCUAACGCCCACCACUACUAAUCGCGCACAACUUUUCACUGGGGCAUACACACUCCUCCAUGCCCAAACCAUCUCAAUUUCACUUUCCUCAUCUUGUCCACCGCGGAAGUCACUCCUACCUUGUCCUGUAUCUCAUCAUUCCUAAUUAUGUCUCUCAUAGUAUCACCACGCAUCCACCUCAACAUUCUCAUCUCCGCAACUUUCAUCUUCUGAACAUGAGAGUUCUUAACAGGCCAACACUCAGUCCCAUACAACAUAGUCGGUCUAACCACGUAGAACUUACCUUUUAGUUUAGGUGGUACUUGCUUAUCACACAAGACCCCAGAAGCUAGCCUCCAUUUCUCCAUCGCGCACCACUAUGAUGUGUGACAUCCUCAUCGGUCUUGCCAUUACCUUGGAUUACAAAUCCUAGGUACUUGAAACAAUCUCUCUUGGGGAUAACUUGAAAUAAUCUCGCCAUUCCACAUCGAUCUCAGCUGUAGAUACUUGCUGAGUGAGGGCAGUAAAAUACCUAACACAUAGCUGUAAUGUGUAUACGGUGCAUGUAUCACUCUAUUUGGUUUUGAUUUUUGAAACAUUCAUUUGGCAGGAUUGUUUUUAUUUUUUUGCACAGAAUAUGGUUGCUGGCUUUGCUUAUGCAUCACUAAUCUCCAUCUGAGGCACCAAGUCAAAUAUAAGUUUCUACUUAAUGAAAAGAAGAAAAAGGAAUACUAAGUGGCAACAAAAUGAUCAUUAAAUCUGCGACUAUGAAUGAAAUAAUUUUGAUGCGAAGGACAAUUGUCCUCGGAUGUCUUGGCUGAGAACUUUGCCAGUGCAACUUCAAUUAUUCCGAACUCAUCACCACCCGUAUAGUAGCCAACAUUGUGUCAUGAGACAGCAUUCUUUGCUUGUUUUGAAAUUGAGUCCUGGCCUUGUUGAGGACUGAAUUUGGUGGCUUGGACAUACUCUUUUCAGUCCCAGAUACACGUUGCUCAGCAACUGGGAUUUUUUUUUUUUUUUUGGCGUGGAACCAAAUACAUUAUGAAAAGAUUUAUUUCCUGAAUAAGCUUCAAAUCCUCCUCCAAGGAAGAGCUUAAGGAAAUUAAUUUUAUCAGAUGAAGCCAUGUACUGGUGCUAAAUGGUUCUCCACCAAUCUUGAUUGAGAUCCCGGGACUAUAGCCAUCCUCUAGAAAUUCCAAUUUCCAAUAUAUCUCGAAAUGUGUUUAUUUGAUUAUUAAGACCCUUUUCGGCUGGCCCUUUACCUCCAGCCUCUGCUGAAAGGGUUCUUACCUGGUUCAGGACUUUUUUCCUUGAUCCCUGUAUAUGUUAUAUUCACUAGAUUUGUUAGCUUCAUCUGUGGAGCUGUCACUAGAUCCUUUAGAUUUUCCAGAAAACUUUUCCAGACUCCACUUCAAAAACUAAAGCAAGUGCUUUGCCUGCUGCAAUGCGCACAGAUCGGUCUUCCUUGUCUAGAAGAGUUGAGAAGCAGGAGAUUGACCCUUGCCAACUUUUUGGGGUUAGGUGUCCAUCCAUGGUAGUAAGAAGGGAAGACCAUGAAGAUACGACUGCUGUUAUCGUUGCUCGUAAAGGUUUAGCAGUAGCCACAUUAGGACCCAGUUUUGGAUUAAUGACUUGCCUCAUCAAUUGCAUAGACUUUCUGUUUAUUUUGGUUCUUCACCACCAACAAAGGUGAUAAUGCCAAACACUCCAGUAUCAAGGGUGUUUUAGAAGUAUCAGACCUAGAUUUAAGAGCCUCUGAGAUAGGUGUUGCUGAUUCUUCCAGAAUCUUGUGCUUUGACCCUAGGGCCAGCAAUUAAAAUCAGACGCCCAAUAACAUGCGAUGUGAAAGCUGUCUCCUCGGAGAAACCAUGUUCAAUGGAACUCAAAUAUUGUUACAAUAAUGUGGCUAACUUCUUUUCAAGAAAUUCGCAUUGGAUCUUGAAACCCUCUUAAAUUGAUGUCAAGCCUUCUCUCUUGUUGAGUCCCUUUUUCUCAUUAAGGGCAUCCAUGCGUUGAUCAAGGACAAUCUCCUUAUCAAAUUGAACCUCAUCCAAACCAGAUAACAUCAUAUCCGACCGAGUAGUUGCCGAUGAACUCAUGCUAUGUGUCAUCACUCUCCAGCAUCGCAGCAUUCCUACAUUGUGAACUUCUUCUACCCAUGGUGAACGCUUCCUGGUUACAAAGGUUAGAAGCAAAUACAAGGUUCACUAAAAAUCUGACUAUGUAAAGGAAAGGAAUCAAAAGGCGAAGCUGGCAUUGAACAAACAGAGAAAUCAAACUUCUAAAUUGAAGAACAAUUUAUCUAUAAAAAAGCUUUUGAAAGAAAAAUCGAGAGGAGGGGAAGAUGUAGAGAAAUUACCAGAUCACAAGGAAAAGAAAAAGAGAGUUUGACAGGAUUCUACAGUUUAAAUUUUAGCAGUUUUUAGUUUUUACUAGUUCAGGCCUAAAGCAAGCUGCUCGUAUCAUUCUUCUUGGCAAUGCGUGCAAUGUGACGUAUUCUAACUUAAUAUUUUUUUCUUAUUGCCUGUUGAUGUGAUUUUAUAUUUAUGUGGAUUUAGGUAUAUUUACUGGAAAAGAAAAUGAGAAAGAGCACACCGGAAAGCAGUGCAAGGAUGAAUCAACUAAUAUCAAGGUAUCUAGUGAAAAAACUUCGUAAUUAAAAAAGAAAAGAAAUUAAGAAUUAAAAAAAGACCUUUUUCUUUGUGUACCUCACAUUGUUAGAGUGUUCGUUAUGGACAUUUACUGAUUCUCUUUGGGUUUUGAUGCAAGCUAAUAUUUUAAAUACUUUGUGAUUUUCAGGUUUUAUCUCCAGCCAACAUUGCAAAAAAGAUGAAACUGAGAUUUACUAAAGCCUGGAUAUCAUUCCUUGGACUACCACUUCCUGUUGAUCUUUACAAAGAGGUAAAUAAACAGUCCAUUGACUGGAUAUCUAUUUCAUGCAUUGGAACAAGGUCUUGGUGCUUUUAUUGUCUUUUUAAUUUCAUAGGAACGUCUGUACUUCCAUGAUCUCUUCUCCUCCUAUUCUUUUCUUAUCCAGUAUCACAACUUGAUCCAAGUUGUGGUUAGUGAUGCUGUCAUAUUACACUGUGAUUUUCAUUUGAAUUUUAAUGUUUUGUAGUGCAUGUUUAUGUGAAAAAAGAGAUAUCCGUCCUAUGGCUAAUAGUCCCUCAAUAUGAUUUAGCAGUUUUCACGAGUUAAUCUUUAUCAUGAAACUGUACAAAAUUGUGAAAUUUUAGCGUAACCUUAGCUUUGACCAACCUCAACUAGCCUUUGAAAGUCGAUGGGCAACAAUUCUGGGACAGAGAAGUAAAAUCUAUUUCACAUUAACUUUUCCAAAGACCCUCUCAAAAGAUUUGGUUGAAGUGGUAUUAUUCCAAAGUCAGCUUUGUUUGUGUUUCUGUUCUGCUUUCUAACUCCUGAAACAUGAUUGUUAUGACGAUUUCUAACAUUCUCUCUUUUGCUUUCUGAUCUCAGGUUCUGGUGAACCUUCAUCAAGUUGUUAUUCCCUAUCUGUCUAACCCUCUCAUGUUGUGGUAAUACAUUGUACUCUGUUCUUGUUUGUCUCAUUGAUUCUAUUCAUUCAGACUUAACAAGUCUUGAUGAGUGACUCCAGUACUUUUUCAUAUGCAGUGAUUUCUUAACCCGGUCAUAUGAUAUUGGCGGGGUAGUCAGUGUGAUGGCUCUUAGCAGCUUAUUUGUUCUCAUGACACAACAUGGUCUUGAUUGCCCCAACUUCUAUGAAAAGCUUUAUGCUCUAUUGGAACCUUCUAUUUUUAUGGCAAAACAUAGGGCUAGGUUCUUCCAGGUAAUAGCAAAAUUUUUAUUUUUCUCUCGUGUAUGGUUGCUAUGCGGACUUUCAAACUAUGAGAUCUUUUUUUGGGGAUUAUAGUUUGUGUUUGUUUUGGUUUGGAGUUACAAUUGACUUGAGCUGCUAUACCAAUCCCAUAUGUAACAUGAAUUUCCACCUGAAGGCAAGGACUAUCAGACUUUCUUUGUUGCAUGCUCCCAAAGAAAGUAUGAAUUACUGUAAACUUGGAAAUGUUCUGCAUAUGCUACAUUUUCUGCCUAUCGGAAACAGCCUUUCUACUUCUCCGGAGGUAAUGAUAUGGACUGCGUACUUCUUACCCUUGCCAGACCCCACUGUGUGGAAAUACACUGAGUUUUUUGUUGUUGUUGGUUUUCAUUGGAUUACUGUCAUCUCUGUAGUUUAGGAAGUGAAUUCAGAUUCAUGAAGUCCAUCGUAGUUCCAUCAUUGGUUCUCUGGAGGAGUAUGCAUACUGAACUGAUCUUAUCAAGCAGAAAAGGGUUAUUUGAGAUAUGUGAUAUUUCGUGUGUUGCUCAUUGAAAAAUGAGUUAAUUUCUGAUCAAUAAAGAGAAGGUGUCAGUACAACAUGGUUUACUUGUCAAUUAAUUUGUGAUUGUCUUGGAUGGAAAUAUUUUUUUCAAUAUGUUGCAAUAUGGUAGAUCUAGUUAUGUUUAUGGACGCUAAUUGCAGAAUGUCACUUGCAGCUUCUUGAUUCAUGCUUGAAAUCACCACUUUUUCCUGCAUAUUUGGCAGCUUCAUUUUGUAAAAAACUCAGUCGGCUAUCACUUGCCGUCCCUCCUUCAGGAGCAUUAGUCAUUGUCGCUCUAAUUCAUAAUCUCUUGAGGAGACAUCCUUCCAUAAAUUGCUUGGUGCACCAGGUAAGACUAUGGCAUCUUACCCUACUUUUCUGCUGAAGUCAUUGUUUGAGAUGUUGUAUCUAUGUGGGGCAGUGAAGGACUAAACUGAGAUUUAGGGAACCCCUAGUUUGUGUAGAAAACAAAUUUAUUGAGCAAUGGAGCCAAACGGAUCUAAAUAGAGCAGAAUGGAUGUACAACACUCAUGUAGUUAACCCUGAAUUGUUUGUGAUUGAGUAGUUAUUAUUUAUUUUGUGAAUGGAUGACACACAACUUGUGUGACGCAGGAAGAUGAAAUUUCUGGCCCUUUUCUAUUUUUGGUGUAAACAUGAAUAUCUGGAAGAUGUAGAAUCUAUUGUUGAUGUUAUAGGAUCUCUGUAAGUAGGUUAUAGCUUAGUACUUCUUCCUUUAUUCCAUUGUAAGUAUGAAUGACUGCAGUUUUUAUGCAACAAAUAGUUAUACAAAAGAUGUUACCUUCUCAAAAAAAAACUUGUGUGACGCAGGUGCAAAAUAUUUCUGUUUGUAAAAUGUCAUAGUAAAGUUUUUACCUGCUACCUUGUAACUGUAGAUUUGUAAAGCUCAUAUUUGAGGUAAAAAUUCUUUGUAGGAGGGUGGUAGUGAGACUACUACAGACAUUAAAAGUGCAGAGAGUAGUGGGGCUGAUGAUAGCAACAACGUCUCCAGUCCCAGCAGAUUAAAAUCAAGCAUGAAGACUGGCAUUGAUCCUUUUGAUGACAAGCAGACUGAUCCCUUGAAGACUAACGCAAUGAGUAAUUUUCUCGUUUCAUGGCAUAUUAUAAAGUUCAAUAGUUCAGCUAUCACAGUCUCCUGCACCACUUCUUGUUUCCUUCGAAAUUGUGUUGAAAAUGCAUUCCCAUGACCUUAUAACUCUAAGCUUCAGUGGUUCAACCAAUGUCGUGUCAAGCAUUUUGCCGUCUCCUCUUUUUUCUUUCUAAUCUGUUAAAAGGCUUUUCAAAGUCCCCAAUCAACUUGAAUUGGUACUUGUCUAAUUAUUUUUUUUUGUUUGGGGUUAUAUUACUACCUUUUUUGGUGGAGAAUACUUUCCAUUCUUCUUUCGGUGGAAAGGGAUGGCCAAGGAAUUACUUGGCCUUUUUUAGCUAGAGGAUCUUUGCAUUGGUGUUGGGAUCAAGUAUGCCUUUAAGUGGAAGUUAAGUUUUCUGGAUCAAUAUUCCGAGUGUUUUUGCUUAGUCAUUAGAAAUGCUUUGGUUGUUGGGGUAUUUGUAAGGUAUAGAAGUGACUAGUGAGCGCUUCCUCAAUGUAAAGUUCAUUUUGCUUGUUUAAAACACUAUUUUUGACAUAGAUGAUGUGUUGAAUUCUACCAUUCCACAGGGAGUUCUUUGUGGGAAGUUGACACACUUCGUCAUCACUACUGCCCACCGGUUUCAAGGCAAGUGUAUCAUAUGAUUAUAGGUUCUCCUGUGUCAACGGGCAUUUAUGGUUGGUUUAAUUGAGCUUUUGAACUAAGUCUGUUUCUUCUUUUACGUGUUGUUAGAUUUAUUUUGUCCCUUGAGAAUGAUUUGACAGUAAGAGCUAAAACUACUGAAGUUGCAGUCAAAGAUUUCAGUUCUGGUCCAUAUGCAAAAAUUUUUGGUGAUGAGGUAAUGUUCACUAAGCAACUACAGUUGUUUUGGUUACAUAAUGAUAAUCAUUUACUUAUCGGUUGACAAUAAUUUUUCUAGAAAAGUUUGCUGCAAUUGGCUGACAUACUCUCUUCAGUAUUACAAUUGCUUUAACCGAUGAAUUGUGUCAUUUGAUUAAAUGGCCUGAGUUGCUUUUUCUCUUUUGGGGCUGUCGUAGACCUCACAGUCGUAGGACUAAAUUUCCUUUCGUAUUGGGUUUUUGACAUCCCUUUUUCGGGUUUUGGCAUUUUAACUCCGGGGUCUAUGGGAAACAACCUCUCUACUUCAUUUGAGAGGUAGUGGUAUGGAUUGCGUACACUUGACCCUCCCCAGACCCCACAUUGUGGGAAUACACUGGGGGUAUGUUGUUGGCAUUUUGACUCGUCUCCAUGUUGUAUGCUGGCAAUCUGCCUCCUGUAAUGUUGCAUGUAAUGGCCGUUCGUAACUAUGAUACUUAAAAUGCAGAUUAGGAAGCGAGUUAAACAGGCCCCCCUUGCAUUCUACACAGCAACUCCUUUGUUGUUUUCGGAGUCUGAUUUUCUAGGUUGGACUUUCAAAUUGAAGGAAGAUAAGGAUAGUACUGUAGUUCUCGACAAUAUAUCCAAAGAAAAAGGUCAUUUUUCUGCGAAGCAAAGUCGAGGGGAGAGCGAGCUCUCAUGAUUUUACCGGAACCAAAUGGUUCUCAACCUGAUGUAAAUGUUCGUUACUAAUUUUUUGUUUCUAAUUUGUAUCAUGAUCCAAUCAAAUUUCUCAUUUCUUUCGGGAAGCAAAUCUUUUGACAGUUUCACUAAGCUAUAUUUUAAUGCAUAGUGGCUUGUUAGCAUUUAUUCUUGAUAAAAGUCUUGUAUCUUGUCACUGUGGAGUGUCGAGGAAAGGAUAGAAAUUUUGGGAGAAUUUACUUUUACUAGUUAAGUGUACGGGCGUUAUACAUAUAUUUCACGUUGAUCAAUGCUCUAUUUCGCACGUUUGACCACACAAAUGGCCCUGCCCACCUCAAAGGCCCGUCAUAGGCUGCCCACCAGUCUCUCUGGCAUGCCUUAGUUGAUUUUCGACCCAUGGCACGCUCGGACCUCCGGCCAACCUUCAGAAUUGUGGGCUACAACACAUCGAUUUGGUUCGAAAAUACCUCGUUUGCGGCGUUUCUUCUGUUAGACAACCCAAAUGGCCUCGCCCCACCCAAAGGUCCACACUAGGUUGCUCACCAGCCUCCCUGGCACGCUUCCGUCGAUUUUUAGCUCACAGCAUGCUUGAAUUUCGGGCCCACCCCUAGAACUGUGGGCUAUAGCACAUCGAUUUGGCUCGAAAAUGUCCCGUUCGCGUUGUUUGACCACCAAUUUGUCCCUGCCCACCUUAAAAUCCCACACUUGGUUGCUCCCCAGCCUACUUGGCAUGCCCCAAUCAAUUUUGGGCCCAUAGCAUGCUCGAACACCGAAAUCGUAGGCUAUAGCACAUCGACUUGGCCUGAAAACGCCCCGUUUGCGUCGUUUCGCUCAUUUGACCACCCAAAUGGCUCUGCCUACCCCAAAAACCCACACUAGGCCUCUCCCCAACUUCCUUGGCACCCUCCGGUAGAUUUUUGGCCCACAGCACGCCCCGACCUCCGGCCUACCCCCAGAACCGUGGGCAAUAACACAUUGAUUUAGCCCGAAAAUAUCUCGUUCGCGUUGUUUCGCCCAUUUGACCACCCAAAUGGACCCGCUCAUCCCAAAGGCCCACAUUAGGCCGCUCCCCAGUCUCUCUGGCACAACCCGAUUGAUGUUGGGUCCACAGCACACUCGGACCCCAGGCCCACCCUUGAAAUCAUGGGCUAUAGAACACCGAUUUGACCCAAAAAUGCCCCGUUCGCGUCGUUUCGCCCGUUUGACCAUCCAAAUGGCUCGGACCACCUUAAAGGUCCACACUAGGUUGCUUUCCAGCCUCCCUGACACGCCCCAGUUGAUUUUGGGCCCACAACAAGCCCGAACCUCGAGCCCACACCCGGAAUCGUGAGCUAUAGCAAAUCGAUUUGGCCCAAAUACGCGCCCUUCGUGCCGUUUCGCCCGUUUGACUACCCAAAUGGCACCGCCCACCCCAAUGGCCCAUACUAGGCCAUUCCCAAGCCUCCCUGACACGCCUCCGUCAAUUUUGGGCCUACGACACGCUCAGACCCCGAGCCCACCCUCGAAACUAUGGGCUAUAAGACACCGAUUUGGCCCAAAAUCGCCCCUUCGCGCCGUUUCGCCCGUUUGACCACCCAAAUAGCACCACCAACCCUAAUGGCCCAUAGUACGGCACUCAAGCUUCCAUGGCACGCCCCAGUCGAUUUUAGGCCCACGACACACCUGGAUCCCGGGCCCACCCUCAGAACCGUGGGCUAUAGCACACCGAUUUGGCUCGAAAAUGCCCCUUUCGCGUCGUUUUGCCCAUUUGACCACGGAAAUGGCGCCGCCCACCCCAAUGGCCCAUACUAGGCCGCUUUCAAGCCUCCCUGGCACGCCCUGAUCGAUUUAAGACCCACGACACACCUGGACCCUAGGUCCACCCCCAAAACCGUAGGCUAUAGCACAUCUAUUUUCUCGAAAAUGCCUCCUUCGCGCUAUUUCUGUAGUUUGACUACCCGAAUUUCAUCGCCAACCCAAACGGUCCAUGCUAGGCAGCUCUCAAGCCUCCCUGGCACGCCCCGAUCAAUUUUGAGCCCACGACAUGCACAUACCCCGGGCUCACCCCCGACAUCGUGGGCUAUAGCAAAUCGAUUUAGCCCAAAUACGCGCCCUUUGCACUGUUUCGCCCGUUUGACAACUCAAAUGGCACCGCCCACCCUAAUAGCAAACACUAAGCCGCCCCAAGCCUCCCUGGCACGCACCAUCGAUUAUGGACCCACGGCCCGCCCGGAUCUUGGGCUUACCCCCGGAACCGUGGGAUAUAGCGUAACGAUUUGGUUCAAAUACGCACCCUUCGUGCCGUUUCGCUCGUUUGACCACCUAAAUGGUACCGCCCACCCCAAUGGCCCACACUAAGCAGCUUCCAAGCCUCCCUGACAUACCCCGAUCGAUUUUGGGCCCACGGCAUGCCCGAAUCCCGGGCCGACCUCUGGAACCAUGGACUAUAACAUACCGAUUUAACCCAAAAAUGCUCCCUUCGUGCCGUUUUGUCCUUUUGACCACCCAAAUGGCAUCAACCACCCCAAUGGCCCACACUACGCCGCUCCCAAGCCUCCCUGGCACACCCCGAUUGAUUUUGGGACCACGGCACGCUCGGACCCCAAGCGCACCCCAGAACAUUGGGCUAUAGCACACUGAUUUGGCCCAAAAAUGCCCCCUUUGCGCCAUGGGCUAUAGAACACUGAUUUGACCCGAAAAUACCCAUUCACGCUGUUUCGCCCGUAUGUCCACCCAAAUGGCCACGAAAAAUUAAAUGGACCAAUCUGGGAUGAUCCUCAACCUCCCUGGCACGCCCCGAUCAAUUUUUGGCCCACAGCACGCCCGAACCCCGAGCCCACCCCCACAACCGUAGGUUAUAGCACACCUAUUUGGCCCGAAAAUGCCCUGUUUGCACCGUUUUGCCCGUUUGUCCACCCAAAUAGCCACGAAAAAUUAAAUGGAUCACACUGGGAUGAUCCCCAACCUCCCCGGUAUGCCCCGAUCAAUUUUUGGCCCAUAACACGCCCGAACCUUGGGCUCACCCACGAAACCGUGGGCUAUAGCAUAUCGAUUCAUCCUGAAAAUGCCCAAUACGCACCGUUUUGCCCGUUUAACCAUUUAAAUGGCUACGAAAAAUCAAACGGACCACACUGGGACGAUCCACAACCUCCCUUGCAUGCCCUGAUCAAUUUUCGACCCACAGCGCGCUCGGACCCUGAGCCCACCCACAAAACCGUAUGUUAUAGCAUACUGAUUUGGCAUGAUAAUGCCCCGUUCCCCACGUUUCGCCCGUUUAUCCUCCCAAAUGGCAACUAAAAAUUAAAUUGAUUACACUGGGACGAUCCCUAACCUCACAGGCAUGCCUCGGUCGAUUUUCGGCCAACAGCACGCCUUGACCCCGGGGCCACCCCCAAAAUCGUGGGCGUUAGCACAAUGAUUUGGUCCCAAAAUGCCCCGUUCAUGCCGUUUCGCCCGUUGGUCCACCCAAAUGGCCACGAAAAAAAAUGGACCUCACAAGGACGAUCACCAAACUCCCUGACAUGCCUCGAUUAAUUUUUGUCCCACAACACGCCCAGACCCCGAGCCCACCCCCAAAUUUAUGGGAUAUAGCAUAUUGGUUUAGCCCGAAAACGCCCCGUUCGUGCCGUUUUGCUCGUUUGUCCAUCCAAAUGGCCACGAAAAAUUAAACGGACCACCCUGGAAUGAUCCCCAAUAUCCUUGGCAUGCCCCGAUCGAUUUUUGGCCCACAAAAUGCUCAGACCCCGAGCCCAUCCCUAAAAUCGUGGGCUAUAGCACACCAAUUUAGCCCAAAAAUGCCCCGUUUACAUUGUUUCGCCCGUUUGUCCACCCAAAUGGCCACGAAAAAUUAAACAGACCACACUGGGACAAUUCACAACCUCCAUGGCACGCCCCGGUCGAUUUUCGACUUGCAGCAAGCCCGAACCCGGAGCCCACCCCUAAAAUCGUGGGCUAUAGCACACCAAUUAGGCUUGAAAAUGACCUGUACUCACCGUUUUGCCCGUUUGUCCACCCAAAUAGCAAUGAAAAAUUAAACGGACUUUAUUGGAACGAUCCUCAAUCUCCCUGGCAUGCCCUAAUCAAUUUUCGGCAUAGAGCACGCCCGAACCCUGGGCCCACCCCCGAAACCGUGGGCUAUAGCAUACAGAUUUGACCCAAAAAUGCCCUGUUUGCGCCGUUUCACCCGUUUGUACACCCAAAUGCCCACAAAAAAUUAAGCAGACCACACUGAGAUGAUCUCCAACCCGCCUGGCACGCCUCGGUCGAUUUUUGACCGCCAUCACACCUGGACCCCGGGACCACCCCUAAAACCGCGGGCUAUAGAACACCGAUUUGGCCUAAAAAUGCCCCUUCCGCGCCGUUUCACCUGUUUGUCCACCCAAAUGGCAUGAAAAAUUAAACGGACCACACUGGGUUGAUCCCCAAACUCCCUGGCAGUCCCCGAUUGAAUAUCGACCUGCAGCACG